rnacentral:rRNA from 1 species
AGAGUUUGAUCCUGGCUCAGGACGAACGCUGGCGGCGUGCUUAACACAUGCAAGUCGAACGGAAAGGCCCUGCUUUUGUGGGGUGCUCGAGUGGCGAACGGGUGAGUAACACGUGAGUAACCUGCCCUUGACUUUGGGAUAACUUCAGGAAACUGGGGCUAAUACCGGAUAGGAGCUCCUGCUGCAUGGUGGGGGUUGGAAAGUUUCGGCGGUUGGGGAUGGACUCGCGGCUUAUCAGCUUGUUGGUGGGGUAACGGCCCACCAAGGCGACGACGGGUAGCUGGUCUGAGAGGACGAUCAGCCACACUGGGACUGAGACACGGCCCAGACUCCUACGGGAGGCAGCAGUGGGGAAUAUCGCGCAAUGGGCGACAGCCUGACGCAGCAACGCCGCGUGAGGGAUGAAGGCCUUCGGGUUGUAAACCUCUUUCGCCUGUGAC